ensembl:snRNA Gm22818 U6 spliceosomal RNA
GUGCUCACUUCAGUGGUAUACCUACUAAAAUUGGAAUAAUACAGAGAUUAGCAUGGUCCUUACAAAAGGGUGACAUACAAACCAGUAAUAUGUUCGUGUGUGUG